UUUGUGUUAGCAUAUUAGUGCAUUAAAUUUAGACUUUAAUUAUAUUAUUUAUUUUGAAUAAUACACAAUA
rnacentral:tRNA from 1 species